rnacentral:rRNA from 1 species
GCUACUGCCAUCAGAGUUCGAUUAAGCCAUGUUAGUUGAGGGUAGCUCUUCUUCGGAAGAGGGAACCCGGCAGACGGCUCAGUAACACGUGGACAACUUACCCUUAGGACCGGGAUAACUCCUGGGAAACUGGAGAUAAUACCGGAUAGAGCAUCGAAUGCUGGAAUGCACGAUGUUCAAAAGCUGAGGCGCCUAAGGAUAGGUCUGCGGCCGAUUAGGUUGUUGUUGAUGUGAUGGAUUAACAAGCCUACGAUCGGUAUGGGUUGUGAGAGCAAUAGCCCAGAGAUGGGUUCUGAGAAAAGAACCCAGGUCCUACGGGAUGCAUCAGGCGCGAAAACUUUACAAUGUGCGAAAGCACGAUAAGGGAACUCUGAGUGCCUCCUACGGAGGCUGUUCAGUUGUCUAAAACGCAUCUGAAGGAAGGGCUGGGUAAGACCGGUGCCAGCCGCCGCGGUAACACCGGCAGCCCAAGUGGUAGCCAUGUUUAUUGGGUCUAAAGCGUCCGUAGCCGGCCACGUAAGUUCCUUGGGAAAUUUGAUCGCUUAACGGUCAAGCUUUCGGGGAAUACUGCCUGGCUUGGGACCGGGAGAGGUCAGAGGGACUCCAAGGGUAGGGGUGAAAUCCUUUAAUCCUUGGUGGACCACCGGUAGCGAAGGCGUCUGACCAGACCGGAUCCGACGGUGAGGGACGAAGGCUAGGGUCACGAACCGGAUUAGAUACCCGGGUAGUCCUAGCUGUAAACGAUGCGGGCCAGGUGUUGGCAUUACUGCGAGUGAUGCCAGUGCCGAAGGGAAGCCGUUAAGCCCGCCAUCUGGGGAGUACGGUCGCAAGGCUGAAACUUAAAGGAAUUGGCGGGGGAGCACCACAACGGGUGGAGCCUGCGGUUCAAUUGGAUUCAACGCCGGG